UACAGAGGUCCCAAGCGUUGUUCGGAUUCACUGGGCGUAAAGGGUGCGUAGGUGGUGAGGUAAGUCGGAUGUGAAAUCUCGGAGCUUAACUCCGAAAUGGCAUUGGAAACUACCUCGCUAGAGGAUCGGAGGGGAGACUGGAAUUCUCGGUGUAGCAGUGAAAUGCGUAGAUAUCAGGAGGAACACCGAUGGCGAAGGCAGGUCUCUGGGCUGACACUGACGCUCAUGCACGAAAGCGUGGGGAGCAAACAGG
rnacentral:rRNA from 1 species